rnacentral:rRNA from 1 species
AUUGAACGCUGGCGGCAGGCUUAACACAUGCAAGUCGAGCGAGCGGCGGACGGGUGAGUAAUGUCUGGGAAACUGCCUGAUGGAGGGGGAAAACUACUGGAAACGGUAGCAAAUCCCGCAUACCAUCAGCUGUGCCCAGCUGGGAUUAGCUAGUAGGUGGGGUAAUGGCUCACCUAGGGGACGAUCCCUAGCUGGUCUGAGUGGAUGACCGGCCACACUGGAACUGAGACCCGGGCCAGACUCCUACGGGAGGCAGCAGUGGGGAAUAUUGCACAAUGGGCGCAAGCCUGAUGCAGCCAUGCCGCGUGUAUGAAGAAGGCCUUCGGGUUGUAAAGUACUUUCAGUCGGGAGGCGGUACCGACAGAGAAAGCACCGGCUAACUCCGUGCCAGCAGCCGCGGUAAUAC